rnacentral:rRNA from 1 species
UACAGAGGGGGCUAGCGUUGUUCGGAAUCACUGGGCGUAAAGGGCGCGUAGGCGGCGGUUCAAGUCGGGGGUGAAAGCCUGUGGCUCAACCACAGAAUGGCCUUCGAUACUGGACGGCUCGAGACCGGAAGAGGUCAGUGGAACUGCGAGUGUAGAGGUGAAAUUCGUAGAUAUUCGCAAGAACACCCGUGGCGAAGGCGGUUCUCUGGGACGGUACUGACGCUGAGACGCGAAAGCGUGGGGAGCGAACAGG